AACGAACGCUGGCGGCAGGCUUAACACAUGCAAGUCGAGCGCCCCGCAAGGGGAGCGGCAGACGGGUGAGUAACGCGUGGGAAUCUACCCAUCUCUACGGAAUAACGCAUGGAAACGCGUGCUAAUACCGUAUACGUCCUUCGGGAGCAAGAUUUAUCUGAGAUGGAUGAGCCCGCGUUGGUUUAGCUAGUUGGUGGGGUAAAGGCCUACCAAGGCGACGAUCCAUAGCUGGUCUGAGAGGAUGAUCAGCCACACUGGGACUGAGACACGGCCCAGACUCCUACGGGAGGCAGCAGUGGGGAAUAUUGGACAAUGGGCGCAAGCCUGAUCCAGCCAUGCCGCGUGAGUGAUGAAAGCCCUAGGGUUGUAAAGCUCUUUCACCGGUGAAGAUAAUGACGGUAACCGGAGAAGAAGCCCCGGCUAACUUCGUGCCAGCAGCCGCCGUAAAAC
rnacentral:rRNA from 1 species